AUGGCGAGGCAUCGCCUCCUUGCCGUGCUCCUCAUCGGGAUAGUUGCAGCCUCCGCCUUCAACCAAGCAGCUGCGGCUGGCCGAGGCCUUGCUGUCGUCGAGAAAUUUGCAGAGCUAGAGCCAAAGCCAGAACCCAAACCAGAGCCAAUGCCCAAACCUAUGCCACACACAGAGCCAGAGCCAUGCAAACCUGAACCGACGCCCAAACCCAAACAAAAGCCCGGACAGAAGCCUGAACCAAAACCCAAGCCCAAACCGAUGCCAAAACCGAAGCCCGAGCCGUGCUCCAAACCAAAGCCGGGGCCUAAGCCUGAGCCGAUGCCAAAACCCGAACCAAAGCCAGAGCCCAAGCCUGAACCUGAACCGAAACCGAAGCCGCCUUCAAAGUGCAAACCACCGACAACUCACAAUUGA
rnacentral:rRNA from 1 species